UGAAACCCCACCCCCACUCCAUGUGGGCAAGAUUCUGAUUGAUUUUAGCAGAACAAAGGGACAAUUGCAUCUCAUUUGAAACCCAGAUGAGGCACUCUUUAUUUCAUUCUAAAUUGGGAGCGAUAACAGUUGGGUGGCCAUUACUUGAAGGGGGAGAAAUCAAACAACACCAAUAUUGAACAGGGCUGGUGUACAGUGGCUAUUUUCUGGGAUGGAACUGGUUAACCAAGAAUUGAAAAGUCAUCCUCCGGUAGCCUGAACAGGAAUCUGCAGUCUGCAAACACUUAUUCCCAUCAACACUGCUCUAAGGAGGUGCCGAAAUGCAGGGUCCCUCAUUCUGAUCUUGUGUCUGUCCUGGUAUGAAUUAACCGAGGGGAACAGGAAAUGGAUCGACACUGUUCAUAAGUGAGGAGGGCAGGCAGGAGGGGAGGUCCUUCUGCUUUCAAUCAAGAGAGAGAGUACAAUCGGAGGCGUCAUCAGCACAUCUCGACCAUCGGUAAACCCAGGCUUCUUCAGGGAGCUGGACUUCUUUAUGGAUGAAAUUACAUACUUUUGGUCAAAUGAGAAGUCAAGCAUACCAGGUCUUUUUUCAGAGACUGACUUCAGCAGCAACUAUGGCAAUACUUUCAGAAUUUAUUAGCUUCUGGAAAAAAAGGAUGAGACUUGAAGAGGAAGCCUACAACAACAUUUAUUCUGGACCUCAGUCUAAUCUGAAGCUACACAUCUGGGAAGGUAGAGAAGUCAAAAGGCCCGGUUUAGCCUUUCAGUUGCGGCAAAGGGCAGAUGGCUUUAUAAAUAGCAUGAAGAAAAAAUCAAUAACUGGUUGAAACUGACACCCUUNUUUUUUUUUUUUUUUUUUUUUUUUUUUUUUUUUUUUUUUUUUUGCUUUUUAGCUUCCAGGCUAGGGGUUGAAUCAGAACUGCAGCGGCUGGCCUCUGCCACAGCCGCCACAGCAACACCAGAUCCAAGCCAUGUCUUUGACCUACAGCUCAUGGCAACGCCAGAUCCUUAACCCAUGGAGUGAGGCCAGGGAUUGAACCCAUCUUCUCAUGGUUUCUAGUUGGGUUUGUUACCACUGAGCCACAAUGGGAACUCCCUAACACCUUAUUUCUUAACAGAAAUAAACAUUAAAUAAAACACA
rnacentral:lncRNA from 1 species